rnacentral:lncRNA from 1 species
UUUCACAAAGGUAUAAUACAUACUAAAUAAAUAUCAAGUAGUCUGGUCUCAAAUAUUAAAAUAAAUUACCUGAAUUGAAUAACAAACCAUACUCAAUUACCUUAUGAAAUAUAUAUUUUUAUUUCCUGCGGCAAUGGUUGUUAAAACCUGAAAUAAGAGAACGGAGCCAAAGAAUUAUUAUACGAAUACAUGACUGUAUCGUUGUG